rnacentral:lncRNA from 1 species
GAGGAAGAUUCUAAAACAGAACUUUACAGAAACAAUGAAAACUGCCGUUUCUCUCCCCUAUCUCAUGUAUCCCCAUUGACAUUGUUUACCGCGAAAGUUGACCUACAAAUUAUCUGAUUAUAGCCUCAGAUUAAAGCAUUGCAUGUUGGUGUGUGAAUCAUCUACACUACAGCAAACAUCAUUAGGUUUACAUUUAACAAAUACAGACUUUAAAUUAGUAUACAAAUACUGUGAAUGAUUUUUAUAAUGAAUAAAGGAUAUCCCUGUGUAGGUCGGCAUUCCAACAAUGAC